UACGUAGGGGCAAGCGUUGUCCGGAAUCAUUGGGCGUAAAGAGCGUGUAGGCGGCCCGAUAAGUCCGCCGUGAAAGUCCAGGGCUCAACCCUGGAAUGCCGGUGGAAACUGAUCGGGCUGGAGUCCGGAAGAGGCGAGUGGAAUUCCUGGUGAUAGCGGUGAAAUGCGCAGAUAUCAGGAGGAACACCAAUGGCGAAGGCAGCUCGCUGGACGGUACUGACGCUGAGACGCGAAAGCGUGGGGAGCGAACAGG
rnacentral:rRNA from 1 species